GACGAACGCUGGCGGCGUGCUUAACACAUGCAAGUCGAACGGAAAGGCCCUGCUUUUGUGGGGUGCUCGAGUGGCGAACGGGUGAGUAACACGUGAGUAACCUGCCCUUGACUUUGGGAUAACUUCAGGAAACUGGGGCUAAUACCGGAUAGGAGCUCCUGCUGCAUGGUGGGGGUUGGAAAGUUUCGGCGGUUGGGGAUGGACUCGCGGCUUAUCAGCUUGUUGGUGGGGUAGUGGCUUACCAAGGCUUUGACGGGUAGCCGGCCUGAGAGGGUGACCGGCGGGGGGGGAGCAGCGGCACGGGGGAGACUGGGAGGGGGGGGAGUAGGGGGGCAGGGAGCACGGGGGGAGAGAGGGGGGGGCAGGCACGGGGGGGGGGGGAGGAAGGGGUGGGGGGUGUAAUCCGGUGGGGGGUGGGAGGGGGGGGGGGAGACGGAGAGGAGUAAAGAAGCACCGGCUAACGAGGGGACAGCGGCCGCGGUAAUAGCCGGAGGAGAACCCGUCCGACC
rnacentral:rRNA from 1 species